UGGGGAAUCUUGCACAAUGGAGGAAACUCUGAUGCAGCGACGCCGCGUGAGCGAUGAAGCCCUUCGGGGUGUAAAGCUCUUUCGACGGGAACGAUAAUGACGGUACCCGGAGAAGAAGCUGCGGCUAACUACGUGCCAGCAGCCGCGGUAAUACGUAGGCAGCAAACGUUGUUCGGAAUUACUGGGCGUAAAGAGUGUGUAGGCGGUUUUGCAAGUUUGGUGUGAAAUCUCCCGGCUUAACUGGGAGGGUGCGCCGAAAACUGCAAGGCUCGAGUACUGGAGAGGAAAGCGGAAUUCCUGGUGUAGCAGUGAAAUGCGUAGAUAUCAGGAGGAACACCUGUGGUGUAGACGGCUUUCUGGACAGUCACUGACGCUGAGACACGAAAGCGUGGGGAGCAAACA
rnacentral:rRNA from 1 species